CAGUGGAUUGAUCGCUUCCAACGUUCAUAUUCCUCGUCGUCAAUGGCUUCCCCCUUCCUCGGCCUCCACAAUCUCCUCUCUUCCCCGCUAACAAGACGAUGUUCAUUCCCGUUUUCUUCCAAUGGAGCUUCUUCUCAAGCAAUUCCUCCUUCUACAGCUUUUGUUUCAUCUCCUCGAAUUGCAUCUCACUCUAUCGCUGUCAAGGCAUCUUCGUCUUCUUCCUCCUCCUCCUCUUCUUCUCCUGCAAUUGUUGCGGAGCCUUCAGGUGUGAAGAUUGAUUUCAUUCCGACAAAGCCGAUUGAAGGCCAGAAAACUGGAACCAGUGGUCUCCGGAAGAAGGUGAAACUAUUUAAGCAGGAAAAUUACCUUGCAAAUUGGAUCCAGGCAUUGUUCAAUUCUUUGCCACUAGUGGAUUACAAAAAUGGGCUGUUGGUUUUAGGAGGCGAUGGUCGCUAUUUUAAUAAAGAAGCUGCGCAGAUUAUCAUCAAAAUUGCUGCAGGAAACGGUGUUGGGAAAAUAUUGGUCGGGAAGGAAGGUAUUUUGUCCACUCCAGCUGUCUCUGCUGUAAUACGAAGGAGGAAGGCCAAUGGAGGAUUUAUAAUGAGUGCAAGUCACAAUCCUGGUGGGCCUGAAUAUGACUGGGGUAUUAAGUUUAAUUAUAGCAGUGGGCAGCCUGCACCUGAAUCAAUUACAGACAAAAUAUAUGGAAACACUCUUUCUAUAUCUGAAAUAAAAUUUGCCGAUAUUCCUGAUGUUGACCUCUCUCGCCUUGGAGAAAUUAAGUAUGGGAACUUCAGUGUUGAAGUUGUACAUCCUGUUUCUGACUAUUUGGAGCUGAUGGAGAAUGUAUUUGAUUUUCCACUCAUAAAAAAACUGCUGUCACGUUCAGAUUUCAGGUUUGUAUUUGAUGCCAUGCAUGCAGUAACUGGUGCUUAUGCAGAACCAAUUUUUGUGGACAAGUUAGGAGCCCGUUUGGAUUCAAUUUUGAAUGGAGUGCCUCUAGAAGAUUUUGGGCAUGGACAUCCAGAUCCUAACCUUACGUAUGCGAAGGAUUUGGUCAACAUUUUGUUCAGUGAAGAUGGACCUGAUUUUGGUGCUGCUAGCGAUGGAGAUGGUGAUAGAAACAUGAUAUUGGGUAAGGGUUUUUUUGUUACUCCUUCAGAUUCUGUUGCAAUUAUUGCAGCUAAUGCACAGGAAGCAAUUCCAUAUUUCAAGAAUGGUCCCAAGGGGCUGGCUCGUUCUAUGCCAACAAGUGGUGCACUUGAUCGUGUAGCUGAAAAGCUCAAUCUGCCAUUUUUUGAGGUUCCUACUGGCUGGAAAUUCUUUGGUAACCUUAUGGAUGCUGGGAAAUUGUCGAUAUGUGGGGAGGAAAGUUUUGGAACUGGUUCUGACCAUAUCCGUGAGAAGGAUGGCAUAUGGGCUGUGCUGGCUUGGCUUUCUAUAAUUGCAUUCCGAAACAAAGACAAGAAAGUUGGGGAGAAGUUGAUCUCAGUGUCAGAUGUUGUGAGGGAACAUUGGGCUACUUAUGGAAGGAACGUUUUUUUAAGAUAUGACUAUGAGGAAUGUGAGUCUGAAGGCGCUAAUAAGAUGCUACAUCACCUUAGAGAAGUCAUCAGUAAGAGCAAGUCUGGUGACAAAUAUGGGAGUUAUAUCCUCCAAUUUGCGGAUGACUUUUCAUAUACUGAUCCCGUUGAUGGAAGUGUAGCAUCAAAACAAGGCGUUCGUUUUGUUUUUUCAGAUGGAUCAAGGAUAAUAUAUCGUUUAUCUGGAACAGGUUCAGCUGGAGCAACUGUAAGAAUAUACAUUGAGCAGUUUGAACCGGACAUUUCUGAACAUGAUGUGGAUGCCCAGACAUCUCUCAAACCAUUAAUAGAUUUGGCAUUAUGUUUGUCCAAGCUGGAGGAGUUCACUGGGAGGAAGAAACCUACAGUCAUCACUUGAGGGGACAAUCUCAUUAAUCUAUACACUGGCCCAGACUCCACUAGAUGGAGUUUCAUUGGUGAACUGUCACCUACCGAACCUUGUAGCUGAAUCACAUGAUGUGCUUGUAGUCUUUACAUGGACUGCUUUCAUUUACAGACAUCUUAGAAGGUGACGGGAUGUUGUGCUAGAAGACAUGGAAAAUUGGCAAUUAAUCCAGGCAUGUAUUUAGACCAGCUCUUUUACCUGUUUCUUCGAGCUGUUUGAUUUUGCAAACUUUUCUAUUUGACAGCAACGAAAAACGUAGAGAUCAGGAUUAUGGCCUUAUCUUGUAGGUUGGUA